GGAGAUAGCUGGUUCUCCGCGAAAACUAUUUAGGUAGUGCGUCGAGUGAUUACCUUCGGGGGUAGAGCACUGGAUGGGCUAGGGGGGCGCGAGCCUUACCAAACCUAACCAAACUCCGAAUACCGAAGAGUACAGCUCGGCAGACAGACCACGGGUGCUAAGGUCCGUGGUCGAGAGGGAAACAGCCCAGACCGCCAGUUAAGGUCCCAAAGUUGUGGCUAAGUGGGAAAGGAUGUAGGAAGGCCAAGACAACCAGGAGGUUGGCUUAGAAGCAGCCACCCUUUAAAGAAAGCGUAACAGCUCACUGGUCUAGAUAAGCCGUCCCGCGCCGAAGAUGUACCGGGGCUCAAGCCACACACCGAAACUGCGGAUUUGUUCUUUUAGAACAAGUGGUAGCGGAGCGUUCCGUAAGCCUGUGAAGGGUUGCCGCGAGGUUGCCUGGAGGUAUCGGAAGUGAGAAUGCUGACAUGAGUAGCGAUAAAGGGAGUGAGAACCUCCCUCGCCGAAAGCCCAAGGGUUCCUGCGCAAGGCCAAUCCGCGCAGGGUGAGUCGGCCCCUAAGGCGAGGGCGAAAGCCGUAGUCGAUGGGAACCAGGUUAAUAUUCCUGGACCUGUGGGUGGUGACGAAUGGCGUGUGUUGUGCGGGCUUAUCGGAUUGUCCGUGCAGCGAAGCUGUUCCAGGAAACAACCCCCACGUAUAGACCGUACCCCAAACCGACACAGGU
rnacentral:rRNA from 1 species